UCUCUGACACGCUGACGCCGUCUGGUGGAUGGCUUGGCUUGAGAGACUAUGAAGGGCGUGGCAAGCUGCGAUAAGCUCUGGGUAGGCGCAGGCAGCCUUUGAUCCAGAGAUCCCCGAAU
rnacentral:rRNA from 1 species